GAUUCGUCACACUAUCAUUAACUGAAUCCAUAGGUUAAUGAGGCGAACCGGGGGAACUGAAACAUCUAAGUACCCCGAGGAAAAGAAAUCAACCGAGAUUCCCCCAGUAGCGGCGAGCGAACGGGGAGGAGCCCAGAGCCUGAAUCAGCAUGUGUGUUAGUGGAAGCGUCUGGAAAGGCGCGCGAUACAGGGUGACAGCCCCGUACACAAAAGCGCAUGUGCUGUGAGCUCGAUGAGUAGGGCGGGACACGUGGUAUCCUGUCUGAAUAUGGGGGGACCAUCCUCCAAGGCUAAAUACUCCUGACUGACCGAUAGUGAACCAGUACCGUGAGGGAAAGGCGAAAAGAACCCCGGCGAGGGGAGUGAAAAAGAACCUGAAACCGUGUACGUACAAGCAGUGGGAGCCCCACCACCAAAGCAUUCUCUGGUGUUGAAGGCC
rnacentral:rRNA from 1 species